ACGAACGCUGGCGGCGUGCCUAAUACAUGCAAGUCGAGCGCGGGAAGCAGGCAGAUCCUCUUCGGAGGUGACNCUUGUGGAACGAGCGGCGGACGGGUGAGUAACACGUGGGCAACCUGCCUGUAAGAUUGGGAUAACCCCGGGAAACCGGGGCUAAUACCGGAUAAUACUUUUNGUUGCAUAACGAGAAGUUGAAAGGCGGCUUUUAGCUGUCACUUACAGAUGGGCCCGCGGCGCAUUAGCUAGUUGGUAAGGUAACGGCUUACCAAGGCGACGAUGCGUAGCCGACCUGAGAGGGUGAUCGGCCACACUGGGACUGAGACACGGCCCAGACUCCUACGGGAGGCAGCAGUAGGGAAUCUUCCGCAAUGGACGAAAGUCUGACGGAGCAACGCCGCGUGAGUGAUGAAGGUUUUCGGAUCGUAAAACUCUGUUGUCAGGGAAGAACAAGUGCCGUUCAAAUAGGGCGGCACCUUGACGGUACCUGACCAGAAAGCCCCGGCUAACUACGUGCCAGCAGCCGCGGUAAUACGUAGGGGGCAAGCGUUGUCCGGAAUUAUUGGGCGUAAAGCGCGCGCAGGCGGUCCUUUAAGUCUGAUGUGAAAGCCCACGGCUUAACCGUGGAGGGCCAUUGGAAACUGGAGGACUUGAGUACAGAAGAGGAGAGUGGAAUUCCACGUGUAGCGGUGAAAUGCGUAGAGAUGUGGAGGAACACCAGUGGCGAAGGCGACUCUCUGGUCUGUAACUGACGCUGAGGUGCGAAAGCGUGGGGAGCGAACAGGAUUAGAUACCCUGGUAGUCCACGCCGUAAACGAUGAGUGCUAGGUGUUAGGGGGUUUCCGCCCCUUAGUGCUGAAGUUAACGCAUUAAGCACUCCGCCUGGGGAGUACGGCCGCAAGGCUGAAACUCAAAAGAAUUGACGGGGGCCCGCACAAGCGGUGGAGCAUGUGGUUUAAUUCGAAGCAACGCGAAGAACCUUACCAGGUCUUGACAUCCUCUGCCAAUCCUAGAGAUAGGAUGUUCCCUUCGGGGACAGAGUGACAGGUGGUGCAUGGUUGUCGUCAG
rnacentral:rRNA from 1 species